UCGUAAGACCAAGGAAACGCUGCAGCUGAUUAACAUUUUUUGGCUCUGAAAAGUCUUUGACAGCUUUAACAUAUCGAUCACUUAAGCAACAAAAGUACCUCUUUCAAAGUCGACAAGCCAUCCUCGACCGAUUCAGAUGGCACCAAAAUAUCAUCAAUAUAAAUCAACACUUUGUCUUCACGUAAAAAGGGUUGGAAAAUUUGAAUCAUCCUCUUUUGGAACUCGGCCGGAGAUUCAUAAUAACCAAAGGGUACCACUCUCGCGCAAUAAGGAGAAAUACUUGGUUUGAUUAUACCUCUUUGCAAGAGAUCGUCUGUAAUCUCUCGAAUCUGAAUUCUUUCUGACCACGCAAAGCGUCGAGGAGAAUAUGAGAAUAGGUCGUGUUGUCUUUAAGAGACACCGUGACUGCAUGACCAUCCUCUAUCGGAAUAACAGCCGGAUUUUCGAUUUCAUGAAUUAAAGAUGAAAUCACGACCAAGAAUUAGAUCAACAAAAAGUUCAUCAUCCUCCAAAACAAGAAAUGGAACUUUGAAAGUUUUAUUUUGAAAAACUGCUAGCUGAAAAUUGAAAAAGAUUCGACAUCUAUAAGUGCCACAGUCGGUGAGGAAGGAGACUAGUCGGAAAAAGACCGUCGGACAGUUUGAUGGAACUCAUGAGGCCACCGUGGAUAUAUCUCUCGCUCGCCACCGCGGAAAUCUUGCUCUUCGCCGGGACCGGAGAAGUUACCGCGAUUCCCGCUAAAUUCGUCGUAUUCGUCGAGGCUUUGAGCUCGGCACGAUGAGAUACGUGCGAUUGCUUGUGUGGGAAAACCUUUCCUAGUUUCAAGAGUCGUAGGCUUAACCGUCUUCCAACUGUUCAUAGACUCGCGGAACGCGUAGAGGCUGUCAACCUUUUAUUUUCCGCGUAAGAGAUUACCGAAAAAAGAAGCAUUUUUUUUAUAUACUAAAGAUUAUAAGAAGAUUAUAAUAAGUGUUUGAAAAAGAAAAAUAGGAUACGAUGAAUAAAAAUAAGAAAGAAACAUCACAAUACUGAUAGAUUGUAGCGGUCGUGGACAAUAAAUUUUGUCAAUUAAUCCGACGUGACGUCAAAUGAGGACACUAAUUAAUCGAAACAUCCAUUAAUGGCCGUAGCUCACAGUUACAUGGUGUCCAGACACCAUCAGACGACUCGUUAGAAGGAAGUCUAGCAGGACUGAGAAGAUUCAGAGGAUUGAGCUGGCGACGUUUCUUUGACUGCAGCAACCGCUGAUGCAUGACCAGAAGAAGAAACUUGUGAGUUCUGCUCUUUUUUCUUCAGUCGGAAGCAAUUCUCUCGUAUAUGACCCUUUGUCCGACAGUAGACACAAAAUAAAUCUUUUGUGGAAUCAGUUUUGCCAGUUGAUACCUCUUCUUUCUUAGGAUUAACUUUAGAAUUGGAAGAUUUAGCAGGAACAGGAGACGUCUUUUUGACAGGAUCACCAUAAGCCAAAAUAAGUGAGUGAUUCUUAUCCAGGAAUUGAUCAAGUGAUUCCGCUUGAAUCAAAGAAGCUGAAACUCUUAGAGAAGGAUUGCCAAUACCUGAGAUCAAAAAAUUAAUAUUUUCUUUAUCGGGUAGACCAAGGUUUUGCAAAAGCUUCAAUUUCUGCGUGGCAUAAUCCUGAAAGGUCUCUUUAAUAUAAUUCCAUUUGUGACUUUCUACCUUUUGGUAUAUUACGUGAAAAGGUAUAUCUCUUCUGAACCUCUGAAACAAUAGCUUGUUUUAAGUUUAACCAGGAAUCAUUUACAGUACCUGAAUUAAGAUCCAAUCAAUCUUUUGCAGUCUUAUUUAGCUUACUAGAGGCAGCUAAGAGUGUUACUUGAUCGGAAACUGUAUGGA